GACGAACGCUGGCGGCGCGCUUAACACAUGCAAGUCGAGCGAUGAAACUUUAACAGAACCCUUCGGGGCGAAGAUAAAGUAGAUUAGCGGCGGACGGGUGAGUAACACGUGAGUAACCUGCCUUAGACAUUGGGAUAGCCUCGGGAAACCGGGAUUAAUACCAAAUAAAAUCAUAAUGACACAUGUCAUAACGAUCAAAACUCCGGUGGUCUAAGAUGGACUCGCGUCCCAUUAGCUAGUUGGUAGAGUAAAAGCCUACCAAGGCGACGAUGGGUAGCCGGCCUGAGAGGGUGAACGGCCACAUUGGAACUGAGAAACGGUCCAAACUCCUACGGGAGGCAGCAGUGGGGAAUAUUGCACAAUGGAGGGAACUCUGAUGCAGCGACGCCGCGUGAACGAAGAAGGCUUUCGAGUCGUAAAGUUCUUUUAUAUGGGAAGAUAAUGACGGUACCAUAAGAAAAAGCCCCGGCUAACUACGUG
rnacentral:rRNA from 1 species